rnacentral:rRNA from 1 species
UACGGAGGGUGCAAGCGUUAUCCGGAUUCACUGGGUUUAAAGGGUGCGUAGGUGGGCAGGUAAGUCAGUGGUGAAAUCUCCGGGCUUAACCCGGAAACUGCCGUUGAUACUAUCUGUCUUGAAUAUAGUGGAGGUGAGCGGAAUAUGUCAUGUAGCGGUGAAAUGCUUAGAUAUGACAUAGAACACCCAUUGCGAAGGCAGCUCGCUACACUAUCGUUGACACUGAGGCACGAAAGCGUGGGGAUCAAACAGG